GACGCUUACAAAUGCGGGCGGUUGUUUUCCCGCCUUUUUAAUGAUUAGGGUGAAAGAAUAUUUUUCAUUUUGAGUUUUGCCUAUUUUUUUGCAACCGGGAAGAUAAAAUAUAUCUUGGAUUUAGGUCAAACUACGACAUACGGGACUUAAUUAUAAGUAGUGUUGAACUUAUAAUGACUGCAGUUGUUACUUGGCAUGCACAAAUGCCCCACCUCACAUCUUCUUUUCUUUGCCUAUCACUGUUAAAAAAAGGUAAUUAACACUGUCUGGUCACAGAAUUAGAUCAAAGAGUUAUUAAUAGAAAGAUUAUUGGUGCAUGUAACCUUCAAACACUGUCUUCAUAUAGUCUACUGUUCAUGAUAAUACUUUAUAAUAUGUACAUGUUUAAAUUAUCUAAACUGAAAAUAUUGACAAGCGUUCUCAAUCUCGUUUCCGGUUAUCUGCUCAACGCGAGUUACGUGUUAAUCUAUAUUUACUGUUUACAAAACCUUACCACAGGUGAGCUGUCAGCCCCAAUUCCAAAUAUAUAUAAUAAUACUUGGAAAUUAUCGUAUACUUAUUUGUUUCGUUUGUGUACUCUCCACCAAUGAAAUGCAUUGAAUCUGCGGUUAAAAUCUGCCAACCAAUCACUGCACUCAAUUCCCCUCUGCUGCACCUUUGUGGAACCAAACUCUCGAAGAAUGUUUUUACCAUUUUAACGCAAUACCUCGCGAAGCAUGCAUAUAUUUAAGUUUGAUUUAUAAGGAGUAUGGAUAGUGAAAAUAUAGAGGAAAUUUUCCAUCGGCUGUGUGAUAUAUUCACGCUCAGUCGUCGAAGAACAACACAUUUCGAAUACCUUUGCACUACUUUGCACAGCGAAGAAAUAGUUCCAGUUCAUAAGAAUAAUUACCGAGGAGUUCCGAUGAACGUGAAGAUGAAACCACUGUAAUAACAGUCACUGAAUGCACGUGUGAUAUAGACAAUUAGUCUGACUUGAUUAUUCACGUGAUUGACCAUGUUUAUACACCAACAACAGAACAAAACAGAACAGAACAUAUUUUUAUUUUUUUGGCUUGUACAUACAUUGUCAUACAUAAUGUGAUAAUACUUUGAUCAGAAUGCAGAAAAAAUACAUUUUCAAUACUAGUUUUCAAUGAAUUAUAGACAAUGUCACGUUACAAGUCUUAAGUAAUUAUUCUAGAAAGUUAUUUCAAAUGAACAAAAAUUAAAACGUAAUUUACUAUAUAUGGUUACAUAACAGAUAUAUCAUCAGAAAAGAAUCUACAUAUUACAUAAAAAUGUUACCAGGAAUAUAUCUAUUCUUUAAGACAGAAUCAAAUUUAACUGAUAGAAUUAACAAUAGUAUUUCUAAAAUUUAAUGAUUCCUUUAUAUUUUGCUAGAUUAGAUAAGAUAUUCAAUAUAUAUUUUAAACAUUUGUUAUUUGUAUAUAAAGAAAAAAAUAUAAUACUACUUUAAAUUUUGAGUUAAUUA